rnacentral:rRNA from 1 species
AGCGAACGCUGGCGGCAGGCCUAACACAUGCAAGUCGAACGAACUCUUCGGAGUUAGUGGCGGUCGGGUGAGUAACACGUGGGAACGUGCCCUUUGGUUCGGUAUAACUCAGGGAAACUUGUGCUAAUACCGAAUGUGCCCUUCGGGGGAAGGAUCUAGCGCCUGUAGAGCGGCCUGCGUCUGUUUUGCUAGUUGGGGAGGUAACGGCUCACCAAGGCGGCGAUCAGUAGUUGGUCGGUGAGGAUGACCAGCGACACUGGGACUGAGACACGGCCCAGACGCCUGCGGGAGGUAGCAGUGGGGAAACUUGCGCAAGAGGCGUAAGCCUGACGCGGCCAGGCCGCGUGAAUGAUGAAGGUGUUAGGAUUGUAAAAUUCUUUCACCGGGGACGAUAAUGACGGAACCCGGAGAAGAAGCCCCGGCUAACUUCUG